rnacentral:rRNA from 1 species
GACGAACGCUGGCGGCGUGCUUAACACAUGCAAGUCGAACGGAAAGGCCCUGCUUUUGUGGGGUGCUCGAGUGGCGAACGGGUGAGUAACACGUGAGUAACCUGCCCUUGACUUUGGGAUAACUUCAGGAAACUGGGGCUAAUACCGGAUAGGAGCUCCUGCUGCAUGGUGGGGGUUGGAAAGUUUCGGCGGUUGGGGAUGGACUCGCGGCUUAUCAGCUUGUUGGUGGGGUAGUGGCUUACCAAGGCUUUGACGGGUAGCCGGCCUGAGAGGGUGACCGGCCACAUUGGGACUGAGAUACGGCCCAGACUCCUACGGGAGGCAGCAGUGGGGAAUAUUGCACCAUGGGCGGAAGCAUGAUGCAGCAACGCCGCGUGCGGGAUGACGGCCUUCGGGUUGUAAACCGCUUUCGCCUGUGACGAAGCGUGAGUGACGGUAAUGGGUAAAGAAGCACCGGCUAACUACGUG